rnacentral:rRNA from 1 species
UUCGCCCUUAGAGUUUGAUCCUGGCUCAGGACGAACGCUGGCGGCACGCUUAACACAUGCAAGUCGAACGAGAGAAGAGAAGCUUGCUUUUCUGAUCUAGUGGCGGACGGGUGAGUAACACGUGAGCAAUCUGCCUUUCAGAGGGGGAUACCGAUUGGAAACGAUCGUUAAUACCGCAUAACAUAAUUGAACCGCAUGAUUUGAUUAUCAAAGAUUUAUCGCUGAAAGAUGAGCUCGCGUCUGAUUAGCUAGUUGGUAAGGUAACGGCUUACCAAGGCGACGAUCAGUAGCCGGACUGAGAGGUUGAUCGGCCACAUUGGGACUGAGACACGGCCCAGACUCCUACGGGAGGCAGCAGUGGGGAAUAUUGCACAAUGGAGGAAACUCUGAUGCAGCGAUGCCGCGUGAGGGAAGAAGGUUUUAGGAUUGUAAACCUCUGUCUUUGGGGACGAAAAAUGACGGUACCCAAGGAGGAAGCUCCGGCUAACUACGUGCCAGCAGCCGCGGUAAUACGUAGGGAGCGAGCGUUGUCCGGAAUUACUGGGUGUAAAGGGAGCGUAGGCGGGAUCGCAAGUCAGAUGUGAAAACUAUGGGCUUAACCCAUAAACUGCAUUUGAAACUGUGGUUCUUGAGUGAAGUAGAGGUAAGCGGAAUUCCUAGUGUAGCGGUGAAAUGCGUAGAUAUUAGGAGGAACAUCAGUGGCGAAGGCGGCUUACUGGGCUUUAACUGACGCUGAGGCUCGAAAGCGUGGGGAGCAAACAGGAUUAGAUACCCUGGUAGUCCACGCCGUAAACGAUGAUUACUAGGUGUGGGGGGACUGACCCCUUCCCGUGCCGCAGCAAACGCAAUAAGUUAAUCCACCUGGGGAGUACGACCGCAAGGUUGAAACUCAAAGGAAUUGACGGGGGCCCGCACAAGCAGUGGAGUAUGUGGAUUAAUUCGAAGCAACGCGAAGAACCUUACCAGGUCUUGACAUCCUUCUGACCGGUACUUAACCGUACUUUCUCUUCGGAGCAGGAGUGACAGGUGGUGCAUGGUUGUCGUCAGCUCGUGUCGUGAGAUGUUGGGUUAAGUCCCGCAACGAGCGCAACCCUUAUCUUUAGUAGCCAGCGGUCCGGCCGGGCACUCUAGAGAGACUGCCAGGGAUAACCUGGAGGAAGGCGGGGAUGACGUCAAAUCAUCAUGCCCCUUAUGACUUGGGCUACACACGUGCUACAAUGGCGUAAACAAAGGGAAGCAAAGCUGUGAAGCCGAGCAAAUCUCAAAAAUAACGUCUCAGUUCGGACUGUAGUCUGCAACCCGACUACACGAAGCUGGAAUCGCUAGUAAUCGCAGAUCAGAAUGCUGCGGUGAAUACGUUCCCGGGUCUUGUACACACCGCCCGUCA